AGGCGGCAGUGAACGAAAAACACAGAGCGACGAUUGACAGUUGGAACUGUAAACAAACCAAACCAAAACACAGUGAUCAGUGGAAGUCGGGUGUUAGCCGAAAUGUAUUCUUCAAACGCCGGAAAUAUGAAUCCUGUGCAUGCGGAUCAUCUAAGUACAACUCCAGGACGGCAUAUAUGCACUAAUAAAGUUACAAAUCAAGAAGCCCUUCUAGAGAAAUGCUUACUCGAAUAACAGUCUUUUGGUGUGUCUGACUGCAACUCGACAUCUCCAGUAUAUGGACAUCCAAUGCCCUACUGAAGCAGAGAACAGUAUAGAUAUGGAGGCACUGGCCGAAUUCUGAAGUCAAGACGUGUGGAAUACAAAUGCAGCUUGC